UACAGAGGGUGCAAGCGUUUGUUCGGAAUUAUUGGGCGUAAAGCGCGUGUAGGCGGCUUGGCAAGUCAGAUGUGAAAAGCCCUCGGCUUAACCGAGGAAGUGCGUCUGAAACUGCUGAGCUUGAGUCUCGGAGAGGAUGGCGGAAUUCCGCAAGUAGAGGUGAAAUUCGUAGAUAUGCGGGAGGAACACCGGUGCGAAGGCGGCAUCCUGGACCGGUAUUGACGCUGAUGCGCGAAAGCCAGGGGAGCAAACGGG
rnacentral:rRNA from 1 species